rnacentral:miRNA from 1 species
UGAGAGUUUGUGAUAAUCUUCAUU